rnacentral:ncRNA from 2 species
CUCCGACAAAGGCAAACUUAUUGAAAAGUAAGGACGCAAAGUUACAGGUCUAAGGUAAUAUCUAUGAUGGCUGAACUACCGAA